rnacentral:lncRNA from 1 species
CUCGACAUUGCGAAAGAAUGCGGAGCUGAUCCAACGAAUCGCAAAUGGGGGUCUGGCAGAUCAAGAGUGCAUCGAGAACUCGAGAACUGAGUUCAUCAGAAGGCAAGGCGAUGAGAUUAUUGCGUGCCUUGGAACUAUCAUAAGCAACCUUAACCAGCUCUGCGGAGUAGUUCAAGUCAAAGGAUGCGACUAGUUAUUGCAUGCCUGUAUAUAGUUUGGGAUUAUUGCGUGCCUUGGAACUAUCAUAAGCAAACCUUAACCAGCUCUGUGAAGUAGUUCAAGUCAAAGGAUGCGACUAGUUACUGCAUGCCUGUAUAUAGUUUGGGAUUCUGCAUCUAGAUGCUUGACAUGUUGAAAUGAUUUAGGGGCAAGAAUCUUGACGUCUA